rnacentral:rRNA from 1 species
UACGUAGGGGGCAAGCGUUGUCCGGAUUCAUUGGGCGUAAAGAGCGUGUAGGCGGCCAGGUAGGUCGGUUGUGAAAACUGGAGGCUCAACCUUCAGAGGUCGACCGAAACCAUCUGGCUAGAGUCCGGGAGAGGAGAGUAGAAUUCCUGGUGUAGCGGUGAAAUGCGCAGAUAUCAGGAAGAACACCCGUGGCGAAAGCGGCUCUCUGGAACGGUACUGACGCUGAGACGCGAAAGCGUGGGGAGCGAACAGG